CCAGUAAUUUACAAGUAAUGGUUUACAGCUGUGAACCCUGGCUUCUGAGCUGUUUUGGUCAUUUAGUAAUUACAACAGUUUCAUUAACAUUUAAAGGGAAUAGUCUGUUCAAUAUCAAUUAGGGACGAUCUGCAACUGUGUAGCUCCGUUUCCAUAUUUGCAUUUGACAUUUAAUAUUCUGCACACAUAAAUUCUUGGGCUUGAAAAUGCAUUGCCACAGAAGGUCAAAAUUAAUCCUGAGCCCAUUUCUACCUAGCUCUACUAAGCUUUAGGAAAUAUUUCUGCAGAGAGUGAGAACAUAAAGGUUAUUUUGGGGGCGGUUUUACACAUCUGAACAUUUAAGUACUUUUCCCCACCACUAAAGUUAAGGUUACAGAGUUCUCCUCAAUUCUUGUUAUAUCUUCUGUAUUCUGAGGACAUUUCUAACUUAUCUGAGGUAGAUUUGCAUAGUAUUAAGCAGAAAGAUGACAUCUAUAACUUGUAAAUCUAACUACAGUGAUAUUUAACUUUAAUAUUUGAGGGUGUGGAGGUGUGGUUCUGGGGAUUUCAACACUUAGUAAAUAGAACGACUAUGACCUCCACCCCUCAAAAAAAGCCUUCCUAAAAUCAUUUACAUCAGGGAAUAAGUCUUAAUCUCUAAUUAAACUGUUGAGGAAAGGUUGACUAUGCUAGGACUUACCUCCAAAGAAACAAAAGCCCCAUGAAAAUUUGAAUUUUAUGUGGCUGGAGAAUGGCCCAAGGAUUUGAUCCCUGAUGUUAAGUGAUUUUGUUGGGGGACAGAGUGAGAAAGACAGAACAAAUUUCAGGUGAGUUAAAAGGUCUUUAAAGGAGAAAAACUGGGAUCUUCCAUCAGGAAGAGAGAAGCCUUUUGAAAUGUUUAGGGACAGAGCACAGAGGGUGUCCCAAGGAUGGUUUGAGUGACAGAGGUUAAAAACGGUGUAAGCUGAAGUCUGGGGUUUCUUUUGACUCUUGAUUCCCAGGCUGUGACAUGAGAUGAAACAUUGAGCGUGUACUAUUAUUCUAAGGGUCAGAGGUAGUGAAGUACCCACUGAAUGAGGACAGGCUUAUGGAGACGGUAAGGACAGAGACUCCAGUGUGCUGAUACAAUUCAAUUCUAUACAGAAGGAAGCCAAGGACUUAAAGAAAUGAAACAAAUUUCCCCAAAACACACAGCUAAGGAUCUUAGUAACCGACUCCAGGACAUACAUUCUUAAUCACCUUAAGAAUGCAAACAGACUUGCUAUUUUGGGAAAUGAUGGUGUCUGUCAACCUGUGGUCAUGGUCAGAUGGCUGGAUGCCUGAGGAUGCACACUGGCAAGAAAAUAGCAUAAUAAGGAAAAUGUGAACAUGAAGACAUCCCUGGAGGUAAUUAUAUUUAUAAAAGUUGAGGACUGAGCAAGUCUAAAUAUCACAGAUAACAUAAGAAAGAACUCGCCUUGGGACUUUCUCUGAAUUGCCCAGUGAAUUUGAAGAGGACUUCAGGAGCACUGCCCUCUGACCCCAGAGUUAGAGAGCUCGCCACUCUCAGCUUUUCAGCUGCCUGCGUAGGUCAUUCUGAGCUACCUGAUCUGCAGGGUUCUUGUGAUGCUUAGAAAUAUCCUUUGUAAAAUGUUAUAUCCAAGUCGGUAUUCAACAAAUGGUUCAUUCAUGCUGCUAAAUUUCUGUGAUACAGGUUUGCUUUUGCAUUUAGGGGGCACUCUAAUUAAAAAUAAACUCUCCUCUUGUGUGCACUCCCUUGCCCUCUCCAGAAGUGACUGUCAUUCUUAAUCCAUCUGGGAGAAACUGGGGGAAAAGAGAGGUCUCGGGGUGCACACUAGGUCAGGCUUGGAUGUCGUUCAGUUCUGCCAGCUCCUUUUGCAAGGAUAACUCUUGCCUACUAUGUCUUCCCCAUGUGAAUAUAGGGAACAAUCCAGCCAGGUGGUAGAAAUUAAAUACUUUAGCCAAGAAUAACACCCAGAUUCUGAGAUUUGAACACCAAUUAUCAGGAGGUUCAAAGCACUGAUUUAUCCCAGUCCCUGCUCCCCUUCAAGCUAUGUAAGUAGCUCUAAUGAUGAGCAAUCGAGGACCAGCGCCUUCCCUCCUGUUCAUUACUCUCCAACAAGAUCUUAAGUUGAUAAGGCCACCCUGAAAAGGCAAGAUCAGCUGUAGACAGGGGAGCAGGUACAUUUAUCAACUGCUUUUGUUUGCUGAGUCAGGGAUUGCCGUUGGUUUUAACUUUU